GAGGGUAUAGUUCAAAGUGGUAGAGCACAUUCUUAGCAUGCAUGAGGUCCUGGGUUCAAUCCUCAAUACCUCCA
rnacentral:tRNA from 1 species